CGAUUUUCGUCGACGCAAACAGUUUGACAGUUCUCUUCAGCUGGUCUUGUUUGGACUUGAUUGCAACCGAAUCGAACCCGUUAUUGUUGAUGUUGGGCUUCGGAAGGAUUUUGACCGGUUGAUAGAUAUUCAGAAUUCGGUCUUCGUGGCGGUGGAGGAGGAGGACGAGACGCAUGAAUCCGGCGGGCCAGGUCUUCGUGGCGGAAGACGGGACCGGAAGGAACCGAGCUUAUGGAGGAUAUGGUUCAUUCCAAAGGAGGAGGAGGAUGAAACACCGAGUGUCAAAAGUUCUACCCAAGGUAACCAAAAAUUUUCCAAUCUGAUCCUGCUAACAAACCAGCGUCUUUGUGUUGUCCCACGCAGUUUGUUGAACGGAAGCUGUAACGACCGCAAAAACAUCUGCUCCGGAAGUGCGUAAACCGACGUUGUCCCGUACUCCGGUGGCCAUCAAUCCAUGGGACAUAAACGGUGGCGCCGCAUCGGCUCGAAAAGAUGGCUGGCAAAUUCCGGACCCGGAAGACAACGCCAAAAACUUCCGGCCAAGAUGCCGAGCGAUGAGCUGAAAGACCAACUGGAAGACAACGCCAAAAACUACGUGGAGAUCGCGACACACAAGUAAAAUUAAUGAAUGUAUUUUAAAUCGAGUGAAAAAGUGAAAUUUACAAUAAAAAUACAUCUAAAAAUAAAUAAAAAUAAAACAAAUAUCUAUUUUUUACUGCAACAUAACCUAAAAACCCGAAAUGACAUCACACGACAAAGGCACGACAUCCUAAAUAACAAAACCGUGCGACGUCGGUCGAAUGUCGUACGACAAUGUCGUACAAUUUCGAUCAUCGAUCGCACGACAAAUACGACA